UCCGAGGUCUGCGAGUGUCUCAUGCACACAACAUGUUUCCCAUUCAAUGCGUCUAAUUAAUCCCUUGAUGAAAAAUGAAAACAAAACGCAUCUAAGACCCGUCCGUUUCAAAACCUUGGCAAUCAAUGGGAUUUAUGUUGAAUAUUUGUUUCUUCUUUGAAUCAAUUUGGAGGCAAUCGAUCAGAAUCUUCUUUGAACCUCAUUAACUCACCGACAUACGUUUCUUCUCAUGAGAUUUAUAACUUCUAAACUGAGAUGCAUCUAGAAAUCUUCCCAACAGAUCGAAGAAGAACAGGAGAUGAUGCAUGUACCAACACAAUAUUUAUCAUUUUUUAAGAGCAACGGUAGCAGUAUCAGUGUGGAUGCUUGAAAUAAAUCAAUGGAGGUGGAUAUGGUCAGGAAGUGACAGGAACCCAUUAUCCUAAAGCUACGAGGAAUAUCUUUGCUCAAGAACGUGUGUAUUGACGAAAUAAUGAACCUUGGAUUGACUACUAAGUAUUAAGUCCAAGUAAAGGAUAUGAUCAAGUCUAUGCAAAGGAGUAACCUCGGACGGAAAUGGAAUUAUGAGUUCUUAACUACCGAUGCUUAUUUGCUGCAUAGAGAAGGGUACUUAGGAUGCAUUUUGGGGGAUAAGUUCCAUGUAUUUUUGCUAUAUCCAUGGCCAAUAAACACUGUUAUGGGAAGGUCUUGCCAUUAAGGAUGAGAGCAGGGUUUCCCUGUUCACAGCUUCCGAAACGAAGAAGUAAAAUUCUAAGUGUUGGAACCUAGCGUUUCUAAGAGUCCUUCAUGUCAACUAGCUGCUAAGAGUCCUUCAUGUCAACUAGCUGACGAAAUUUUUCCUUAAAGUUUGAGGACUUAAAUUAGAGAUUUAAACCUAUGUCUACUCUGUAUUUUCCGCACCUUAUCCAGUACUUUUGUGUAUUUACACUUUAUUUUUUGUAUAAAAGGUGAUUGUCUGGAAAUGAAUUUUUUUUGUUUAAA